rnacentral:rRNA from 1 species
UACAGAGGGUGCAAGCGUUGUUCGGAAUUACUGGGCGUAAAGCGCGUGUAGGCGGCUUUUUAAGUCGGACGUGAAAUCCCUGGGCUUAACCCAGGAACUGCGUCCGAAACUGCCUUGCUCGAGUAUGGGAGAGGGAAGUGGGAUUUCCGGUGUAGCGGUGAAAUGCGUAGAUAUCGGAAGGAACAUCAGUGUCGAAGGCGACUUCCUGGACCAAUACUGACGCUCAGGUGCGAAAGCGUGGGGAGCAAACAGG